UACGUAGGGAACAAGCGUUGUCCGGAAUCAUUGGGCGUAAAGCGCGCGUAGGCGGCCCGAUAAGUCCGCUGUGAAAGUCAACGGCUCAACUGUUGGAUGCCGGUGGAUACUGUCGGGCUAGAGUACGGAAGAGGCAAGUGGAAUUCCUGGUGUAGCGGUGGAAUGCGCAGAUAUCAGGAGGAACACCUAUAGCGAAGGCAGCUCGCUGGGACGGUACUGACGCUAAGGCGCGAAAGCGUGGGGAGCGAACAGG
rnacentral:rRNA from 1 species